rnacentral:tRNA from 3 species
GCGCGGUUAGCUCAGUUGGUAGAGCGACCCCUUGACGUGGGGUAGGCCAGGGGUUCGAAUCCCUUAUCGCGCACCA